rnacentral:lncRNA from 1 species
UCCGUUGAGGAUAUGCAUCUUUCUAGGCACUUUGGGAAUCCCAACCGCCAGGCUCGCCAUUCACCUUUUCCGUUCACCGGCCAGGGCUUGUUCCUUAGUACGGUUUGAGGAUUGGACAUAGUUUGGGAUCGGUACCGCGCUAAAUAACGGUGUGUAUUACCCGGAGGUCCUUGCGCCGAUGGACUCAUGGACGCAUGGACUCCCCAGCUGGGGAGCUUGGUGGAAGUGCAAUCAAUAGCAACGGCCGUUGCGUCUCUGUUUGAUGGCAGCGAGGGCACUGCUCACCCAGCCGUACACACCACGCAUCCCGGUGCUACGCUAUCACAACCCAGUGCCGUGUGGAUUUGUGCUUUAGGGCUGCAGGUGGUGUAGGAUUUACUUCGUUCCCCGCCGUGUGUGCUGUGCGUUGCAUGUGCAAGAUUUUGAGAAUCAAGAAAAAUACUCGUCAAAUCGUCGUACGCGAAAUACACUGCCCUUCUAAUUUCCUGGAAGCCUUGAGCUGAAAGCGGCUGCUGCCCUUGUUUUGUUUUCUGUGAAGGUGUCUGGACGGCAGAGCUUUGCACGUAGCACGCCGAUUGGUCGUAUCGCGGUAUGAGCCCAUGACUCCACCACCUGCCGAUGCCUCCAACAUAUUGCAGCGAUGGCCCUGCUAUUGACGAGGAUCAUCCACGACGGCCGCGCUUGGUAACUGCUCGAUGCUGGGGGAACCCCUUCGUCUCCCCGGAGGGGGACACGCGGUCCCUUGGCCCCAAGGAGAAGAAGAAGACCUCCCCCUUAAUUUUGAUGCACGAGGUGGUGACUUUUACAUAUCGAACACAUCGGGGUGCGGUAUCCAGGAGGAUCGGCUUCUAGAUAGACUUCUACGUACUCCUUGCCAUCCUGGAAGACGAGUUCGCAAAUGGACCUUGAAAGAUAACAGUUACAUGAGCUGCAGUCCUGAGCCAAGGUUCUUGACACAAGUUCUGCAAUAAAAAACCUACAACCUGCAGCCUCUGUCCAGAUAGCCUCUGUCGCGCACUCACGCAUCGCCCGCCCCUUCGAUGUUUAUUCCGCCCGCUCCGCAUCCUGCAUCGUCGCAUGGCUGAGCUUGGGUAAUCGGUCGUUAGGCGAUGAUCCGUAAUGAAUACUGGUGAACACUGGCGGGGCCAGCAGUCACUCAUAUGACGUACAAGCAACUAUUAACAACCACGUGGCAAAACGUCACCAUCCAGGUCCCCAGGUAAAACGGCGGCACCCUACGACCGGUGAGGCAAAGAUCGGCAGGGCCGGCCAAACCUGACCUCUGCUGGUGACUUCAACACCGGUUUUUGGGUCGCAUAUUGUGGCUUCUUAGCUCCUGGGCCUCCACCUAGCUCGUAUGGGCACUCGUCACGCCUCUCUUGAGCAAGACAGCCGAGGUGCAACACGCACUCACAUCUACAUUCAUGACCGCAAGUGACGAGGAGCUGUACAUUCGAGGCCAUCUAUGUACAUGCUUGCUAUGUACAUGUUCUAUGUACUGCAUCUGUACUGCGUAUGUACUGCGCAGGAUGAGGUCCUGCUGACGGAGUCACUAAAAGUGUAAGUCGGUGCCAAUACUUAAUAAACCGACCAACCGACCGACUGACCGACUACGACGUAACCAUGAACAAUUUCAUCAUCAC